GCUGUAGACGUUUAUAAGCACAAAAUAAAUUUUGAUGGAAAUCUGAUGCUAAGCAAAUUUCACUGAGCUAUUUGGAAUUAUGAAUGGCCUUACUUGUCUUUUAAAUGAAAUAAGUUAAGGAAAACUGCGAAAAUAUCGUCAGUAUCAUUCUACAGCUGCAAGAGACGCUCUGGACUGCCGAAUAAACAUGCUCUCUAACACGUACCUGAGUCAGUAGGAGAUUCAGCAUCUCAUGGCUCCUGCAUAUCCUGUUCAUACAGACACGAAUGGAACUUUAUUGUUGCUGUUCUCAGAGGACUGUGCACCUCCAUCACUGGUGAGGCUGUUAAACUUCUCCUACUGUCCAGGAACCACGCCCGGUUCUGAGGGAGGAGCACAGGAUGGAAUGGUUACCCGGCCAGCUGGCCCUUUUGGAGUUUGGACCUGAG
rnacentral:lncRNA from 1 species